rnacentral:rRNA from 1 species
GUUCCUAGUACGAGAGGACCGGAAUGGACUAACCUCUGGUGUAUCUGUUGUGGCGCCAGCUGCAGCGCAGAGUAGCUAUGUUGGGAAGGGAUAAGUGCUGAAAGCAUCUAAGCACGAAGCCCACUUCAAGAUGAGGUCUCUUAGAGUCGUUCGAGAUGAGGACGUUGAUAGGCGAUAGAUGUAAAGGUGGCAACACCAAAGUCGAGUCGUACUAAUUACUCAAGAGCUUUCGC